ACACAUGCAAGUCGAGGGGUAACAGGGAGCUUGCUCCGCUGACGACCGGCGCACGGGUGCGCACCGCGUAUGGAACCUACCUUGUACAGGGGAAUAGCCCAGGGAAACUUGGAUUAAUGCCCCGUGGUACCAUGACCCGGCAUCGGGAUAUGGUUAAAGCCUUCGGGCGGUACAAGAUGGCCAUGCGUCCCAUUAGUUUGUUGGUAAGGUAACGGCUUACCAAGACUACGAUGGGUAGGGGCCCUGAGAGGGGGAUCCCCCACACUGGUACUGAGACACGGACCAGACUCCUACGGGAGGCAGCAGUGAGGAAUAUUGGACAAUGGAGGAGACUCUGAUCCAGCCAUGCCGCGUGCAGGAAGAAUGCCCUAUGGGUAGUAAACUGCUUUUAUACGGGAAGAAAAAGAGCUACGUGUAGCUUACUGACGGUACCGUAAGAAUAAGGACCGGCUAACUCCGUGCCAGCAGCCGCGGUAAUACGGAGGGUCCGAGCGUUAUCCGGAAUUAUUGGGUUUAAAGGGUCCGUAGGCGGGCCGAUAAGUCAGGGGUGAAAGUCUGCCGCUCAACGGUAGAACUGCCUUUGAUACUGUCGGUCUUGAGUUAUAGUGAAGUUGCCGGAAUAUGUAGUGUAGCGGUGAAAUGCAUAGAUAUUACAUAGAACACCGAUUGCGAAGGCAGGUGACUAACUAUAUACUGACGCUGAUGGACGAAAGCGUGGGGAGCGAACAGGAUUAGAUACCCUGGUAGUCCACGCCGUAAACGAUGGAUACUAGCUGUCCGGAACCUUGAGUUCUGGGCGGCCAAGCGAAAGUGAUAAGUAUCCCACCUGGGGAGUACGUUCGCAAGAAUGAAACUCAAAGGAAUUGACGGGGGCCCGCACAAGCGGUGGAGCAUGUGGUUUAAUUCGAUGAUACGCGAGGAACCUUACCAGGGCUUAAAUGCAUAUUGACAGGUCUAGAGAUAGAUUUUCCUUCGGGCAAUUUGCAAGGUGCUGCAUGGUUGUCGUCAGCUCGUGCCGUGAGGUGUCAGGUUAAGUCCUAUAACGAGCGCA
rnacentral:rRNA from 1 species